UAAAAUAAGUUUGAACAAUAAGAAAUUUCUAAUUUAUUUAUUUUAUGGUUAAAUUCCAUUUUUAUUUUAA
rnacentral:tRNA from 1 species